UGUAUGAUCCAGGAGUGAAGCAUCUGUCUGCUGGACUGGAGAGUCCAAACUGUAGACUGGAGGCUCUGAGAUUGGAGCACUGCAGUUUGAAAAAGAUCAGCUGUGAUUAUCUGGCCUCAGCUCUGAAGGACAACCCCUCCCAUCUGAGAGAGCUGAAUCUGAAUAACAACAAGCUGAAGGAUUCAGACGUGAAGCAGCUGAUUGAUCUUCAGCAGAGUCCAGAAUGCAGACUGGAGACUCUGAGAUGGUCAUGAUCUCUGUCAGAGUGAGAGUGAACAUCCAGGAGUGUUGAGAGAGGAUCAGCUGGAUCCUGAUGAUCCAUCUUGAGUCUGGAUCUGGAUUUUGUCAUCUUCACUUAAGUCUCUUAACUGACUCCAAACUGAACAGUUAUCUCUGGAUUUAGCUGAAAUCAGCUUUUAGCCCUUUUAAUAACCUCACAGUCAUCAAGCGUUCCCUAAACAUCUGUCCUCUCAGGGAACAUCUCUGCCUGAACUCCACCUGCAGCUCCUAAAUAUCGGCACACACAGGAAUCAUUUACCAAAUUUGGAAAGUUGAUCGAACUCUUUUCCUCCUAAAAGUAGGAGCAGAGAUGUGUCACUCAUUCACUCAUUUUUGGACAGUUAGAAGUGACUUCCUGCUCUGAGACGCUUGAUAAA